rnacentral:rRNA from 1 species
GACGAACGCUGGCGGCGUGCUUAACACAUGCAAGUCGAACGGAAAGGCCCUGCUUUCGUGGGGUGCUCGAGUGGCGAACGGGUGAGUAACACGUGAGUAACCUGCCCUUGACUUUGGGAUAACUUCAGGAAACUGGGGCUAAUACCGGAUAGGAGCUCCUGCUGCAUGGUGGGGGUUGGAAAGUUUCGGCGGUUGGGGAUGGACUCGCGGCUUAUCAGCUUGUUGGUGGGGUAGUGGCUUACCAAGGCUUUGACGGGUAGCCGGCCUGAGAGGGUGACCGGCCACAUUGGGACUGAGAUACGGCCCAGACUCCUACGGGAGGCAGCAGUGGGGAAUAUUGCACAAUGGGCGGAAGCCUGAUGCAGCAACGCCGCGUGCGGGAUGACGGCCUUCGGGUUGUAAACCGCUUUCGCCUGUGACGAAGCGUGAGUGACGGUAAUGGGUAAAGAAGCACCGGCUAACUACAUG